UACCUGGUUGAUCCUGCCAGUAGUCAUAUGCUUGUCUCAAAGAUUAAGCCAUGCAAGUCUAAGUACGAGCUCUCGUACAGUGAAACUGCGAAUGGCUCAUUAAAUCAGUUAUGGUUCAUUUGAUCGUACAGAAUACUUGGAUAACUGUGGUAAUUCUAGAGCUAAUACAUGC
rnacentral:ncRNA from 1 species